rnacentral:lncRNA from 1 species
UAUCAGGGUAAGGACUUGGUCUCUCAAGUCUUUUGCUUUUGCUCUAAUCAUAGUACUGUGCUUCCUCUCAGGUCACGGGGACAAUGGUUGACAGCAUGCCAUGACUCUUUGUGAAGCCAAAUCCAAACUUCAGCAUGGAGUGACAAGGAGAAGGAUAACACUAGUGAACAUGUCAAGAUUCAAAGGACUUACAAGUGAAAAAAGACAGGGAAGAAGAGAGGGUUUUUUGAUACUCUGGAACAAGGCAAUGAAAACAGAAGGUAUAAACAACCUCUUUUAAAGGGUUGUUUGAUGUCUUACUAAUUAGGUCAGGAUUUUCUGAUCAGAGUUCUUCAGUACCCACUGAAUUCAUUAUUACUUAAAUUUGAAUAGCACAGGACAAAUACUGAUGAGGUGGCUUGGGUUCAGGGUGUCCGGGACCCUUUAUGCAGGCAAAAUAUUGCUGACAUUGGG